GCACUGCUGAGGAGUGUCACACUAGGACGAAACAGCCGUCCAGUAC
rnacentral:hammerhead_ribozyme from 1 species